GCAGGACGGCCAAUAAUUAUCUAACGACCGGAGAACGCCAAACAUCCCUGGACUAGAAGUCGCGAGGAACAUAAAACGGCCAAGAAAGUUUAUUCUCUUUGCUGGUUCAGAAAACAAAAGGAUUGCAAAUAGACUUCACAGGUGCUCCAACUCAGCUUUGCCUCCCUUUGAUUCCAACAAAGCUACCCAGCAGGAAAGGAGAAGGACUCCCUCAAGCUGACAAGAGGCAAGGAGACAAGGACACUUCUGGCAGAAGGAAGUACAUGAACAUAAAGGCAGAGGUGC